rnacentral:rRNA from 1 species
UGGGGAAUUUUGGACAAUGGGGGAAACCCUGAUCCAGCCAUCCCGCGUGUGCGAUUAAGGCCUUCGGGUUGUAAAGCACUUUUGGCAGGAAAGAAACGUCAUGGGUUAAUACCCCGUGAAACUGACGGUACCUGCAGAAUAAGCACCGGCUAACUACGUGCCAGCAGCCGCGGUAAUACGUAGGGUGCAAGCGUUAAUCGGAAUUACUGGGCGUAAGCGUGCGCAGGCGGUUCGGAAAGAAAGAUGUGAAAUCCCAGAGCUCAACUUUGGAACUGCAUUUUUAACUAGCGGGCUAGAGUGUGUCAGAGGGAGGUGGAAUUCCGCGUGUAGCAGUGAAAUGCGUAGAUAUGCGGAGGAACACCGAUGGCGAAGGCAGCCUCCUGGGAUAACACUGACGCUCAUGCACGAAAGCGUGGGGAGCAAACAGG